UUAAGCGACUAAGCGUACACGGUGGAUGCCCUGGCAGUCAGAGGCGAUGAAGGACGUGCUAAUCUGCGAAAAGCGUCGGUAAGGUGAUAUGAACCGUUACAGCCGGCGAUGUCCGAAUGGGGAAACCCAGUGCAAUUCGUUGCACUAUCGUUAACUGAAUACAUAGGUUAACGAGGCGAACCGGGGGAACUGAAACAUCUAAGUACCCCGAGGAAAAGAAAUCAACCGAGAUUCCCCCAGUAGCGGCGAGCGAACGGGGAGCAGCCCAGAGUCUGAAUCAGCUUGUGUGUUAGUGGAACGGUCUGGAAAGUCCGACGGUACAGGGUGAUAGUCCCGUACACCAAAAUGCACAGGCUGUGAACUCGAAGAGUAGGGCGGGACACGUGGUAUCCUGUCUGAAUAUGGGGGGACCAUCCUCCAAGGCUAAAUACUCCUGACUGACCGAUAGUGAACCAGUACCGUGAGGGAAAGGCGAAAAGAACCCCGGCGAGGGGAGUGAAAAAGAACCUGAAACCGUGUACGUACAAGCAGUGGGAGCACCUUCGGGUGUGACUGCGUACCUUUUGUAUAAUGGGUCAGCGACUUAUAUUCUGUAGCAAGGUUAACCGUAUAGGGGAGCCGCAGGGAAACCGAGUCUUAACUGGGCGUUAAGUUGCAGGGUAUAGACCCGAAACCCGGUGAUCUAGCCAUGGGCAGGUUGAAGGUUGGGUAACACUAACUGGAGGACCGAACCGACUAAUGUUGAAAAAUUAGCGGAUGACUUGUGGCUGGGGGUGAAAGGCCAAUCAAACCGGGAGAUAGCUGGUUCUCCCCGAAAGCUAUUUAGGUAGCGCCUCGUGAANUCAUCUUCGGGGGUAGAGCACUGUUUCGGCUAGGGGGUCAUCCCGACUUACCAACCCGAUGCAAACUACGAAUACCGAAGAAUGUUAUCACGGGAGACACACGGCGGGUGCUAACGUCCGUCGUGAAGAGGGAAACAACCCAGACCGCCAGCUAAGGUCCCAAAGUCAUGGUUAAGUGGGAAACGAUGUGGGAAGGCACAGACAGCCAGGAUGUUGGCUUAGAAGCAGCCAUCAUUUAAAGAAAGCGUAAUAGCUCACUGGUCGAGUCGGCCUGCGCGGAAGAUGUAACGGGGCUAAACCAUGCACCGAAGCUGCGGCAGCGACACUAUGUGUUGUUGGGUAGGGGAGCGUUCUGUAAGCCUGCGAAGGUGUGCUGUGAGGCAUGCUGGAGGUAUCAGAAGUGCGAAUGCUGACAUAAGUAACGAUAAAGCGGGUGAAAAGCCCGCUCGCCGGAAGACCAAGGGUUCCUGUCCAACGUUAAUCGGGGCAGGGUGAGUCGACCCCUAAGGCGAGGCCGAAAGGCGUAGUCGAUGGGAAACAGGUUAAUAUUCCUGUACUUGGUGUUACUGCGAAGGGGGGACGGAGAAGGCUAUGUUAGCCGGGCGACGGUUGUCCCGGUUUAAGCAUGUAGGCUGGUUNUGGAGCUGAGACCAGUCGAAGAUACCAGCUGGCUGCAACUGUUUAUUAAAAACACAGCACUGUGCAAACACGAAAGUGGACGUAUACGGUGUGACGCCUGCCCGGUGCCGGAAGGUUAAUUGAUGGGGUUAUCCGUAAGGAGAAGCUCUUGAUCGAAGCCCCGGUAAACGGCGGCCGUAACUAUAACGGUCCUAAGGUAGCGAAAUUCCUUGUCGGGUAAGUUCCGACCUGCACGAAUGGCGUAAUGAUGGCCAGGCUGUCUCCACCCGAGACUCAGUGAAAUUGAACUCGCUGUGAAGAUGCAGUGUACCCGCGGCAAGACGGAAAGACCCCGUGAACCUUUACUAUAGCUUGACACUGAACAUUGAGCCUUGAUGUGUAGGAUAGGUGGGAGGCUUUGAAGCGUGGACGCCAGUCUGCGUGGAGCCAACCUUGAAAUACCACCCUUUAAUGUUUGAUGUUCUAACGUUGGCCCCUGACCGGGGUUGCGGACAGUGUCUGGUGGGUAGUUUGACUGGGGCGGUCUCCUCCCAAAGCGUAACGGAGGAGCACGAAGGUUAGCUAAUCCUGGUCGGACAUCAGGAGGUUAGUGCAAUGGCAUAAGCUAGCUUGACUGCGAGCGUGACGGCGCGAGCAGGUGCGAAAGCAGGUCAUAGUGAUCCGGUGGUUCUGAAUGGAAGGGCCAUCGCUCAACGGAUAAAAGGUACUCCGGGGAUAACAGGCUGAUACCGCCCAAGAGUUCAUAUCGACGGCGGUGUUUGGCACCUCGAUGUCGGCUCAUCACAUCCUGGGGCUGAAGUAGGUCCCAAGGGUAUGGCUGUUCGCCAUUUAAAGUGGUACGCGAGCUGGGUUUAGAACGUCGUGAGACAGUUCGGUCCCUAUCUGCCGUGGGCGCUGGAGAAUUGAGGGGGGCUGCUCCUAGUACGAGAGGACCGGAGUGGACGCAUCACUGGUGUUCGGGUUGUCAUGCCAAUGGCACUGCCCGGUAGCUAAAUGCGGAAGAGAUAAGUGCUGAAAGCAUCUAAGCACGAAACUUGCCCCGAGAUGAGUUCUCCCUGAGACUUUAAGUCUCCUGAAGGAACGUUGAAGACGACGACGUUGAUAGGCCGGGUGUGUAAGCGCAGUGAUGCGUUGAGCUAACCGGUACUAAUGAACCGUGAGGCUUAACCUU
rnacentral:rRNA from 1 species